CAGAACGUAGAGAUAGAAAAGCAUCUCCCUUACACUGAGAAGUCAUCCGUGCAAGUCGGAUCGCGAUGCCCA
rnacentral:tRNA from 1 species